AGUAAACCAGGCAGUCGCGGUCGAGGGCCGAAAGGCUCCGUCCGAGGAAAGUCCGGGCUUCACAGAGCGAGGAUAACGGCUAACGGCCGCCGGGGGCGACCCUAGGGAAAGUGCAACAGAAAAUAACCACCGUGAUUUUCACGGAACGGGUGGAAAGGCGAGGUAAAAGCUCACCAAGAUGAGGGAGACCUCAUCGUUGUGUAAACCCUAUCCGAAGCAACACCGCGGAGGGACAGAAGGCCUGCUCGGCUGUCCCGUGGAGGUGGCACCGAGCCGACGCGGCAACGCGCGGCCAAGAUAGAUGACUGCCCAAUACAGAACCCGGCUUACAGAUUUACUCU
rnacentral:RNase_P_RNA from 1 species